rnacentral:snRNA from 1 species
AUGAUCACGAAGGGUGGGUUUUCUGAGGGUGAGGCUUAUCCCUUGCACUCUGGAUGUGCUGACCCCCGCUAUUUCUCCAAAUGUGGGAAACUCGACUGCAUGAUUUGUGGUAGUAGAGGACUGUG